GGCCUCUCGCCUUCUACACGGCCGCCCGCCACACGCCGCCUGCCCACCACUUGCCCCCCACCGCUUCGAGGGCUAGCCUCCCCGCAUCCCCCUUCGUUCCCGUCCCCGGUUGGGCCGCACGAGUGCCGCCACCACACCAUCAGGGGACACCGCGGGAGUGCAGCCAUCGCACCGCCAGGGUACGCCGCGCGUGCCGGUGAUGCAUGAGCCGCCGCUGGUGCUGCGCCGAUUGCCGCUUUCGACGAUGCAGGAGCCACUCAAUCCGACGAGGACGCGAGGCGCCUUCCGCAUCUGAAACUUCCGUAAUGUGCUCCUCCACUCCGCUUCUAACAUGUCGUUCGUCCCUGGCUCCCAGUGAUAUCCCUGCUCGAGGAACUCCUCUGCCUCAUCAGAUGUAGAGUUAAGAGUUCUUCCAUCUGCCCUCACCUCGCGACCUCUCCCCACGACCUACCACGCUCCCCCUGGAUUGGAUCCAUCAUCCAUGUGCUUAUUGGUGAUUCCAGGCUGUUGUGUGUGUAUUUGGUGAUGUCUUGUUACCCUUUGGGGGACAACUUUUUAGUUUCAGAAGAAUUGGGGUGCCGCUGAGUAGCAGGAAACUGCAAUUCGAGAAAUAUUACCGUGGUUGGGGCGCUUCUAAUGGUGGUUACAACAGCGAGGUUCAGAUCGACUGCCUAAGCUUACCUUUGUGCGAUCUAUCAAUUUUUUUCUCUAUAGAUGAUGCCUAUAUUUGUAAUCCCCAUAGACUUCCUUUUGCAAAAUGUUUGUAUCGUUCAUUUAUGUUAGUUCAUCCUGUACCUGCUGUAAUUUGUUACUGAGUUGAAGGGAUUGCAAUGUACAAAAUGAUACUUUUGCCAAGCAUCUAGGAGAGAAUCAACUUGUAUGAAAUUUUUAGCAUUUACUUCUGGAGAAAAUUUUAGUUAGCAAGUGCGGGUAAAUAUGAUGUGAUAGGAUAGGCCUCCUGCCACGCAGCCUCUUUUGCAGAGAAAAUGACAGUGUGAUUAGUAAUGAAUGGUACAAGGUUCCGAAAUUGACAUGAUAUUGUGUUUAAAUUUUCUUUACUUGAUCAUGUUACUUAUGGGCGAUUGCCAUAUUUUGACUUAGGUUCCUGAUUUCCUCACUUCUCCAGAGGCGAAGGCUAUUGUUCAUGCGCCAAUGUGAAGGUACCACUGCUUUUCAAUGCAAAUGUGAAGGCUUUCAAACCUUUUUGCAUGGUUUAUUUAAGUUUUGUGUGCUCAAACCAAUUACAUUCAGUGAAGGAAGAUCUUAAUGAGGAGUCGAACGUGCAGCCCAUCAACAUCAUUGUGACAAACUCUGAGCCUGGCGCUACCAUCAACAACCAAAUUUCAUGCUUUUGGAGUUGAGAGAUGAUUUCCUGGUGGAUUUGGCGGUGGUGAUGCUAUAGGUUCAACGAUGUGGGUGCUAGAAGAAGUGCAACUCUUAUCAACAGCGAAAGUCUACUCUUGACAAAGGCCAUGGUUGGUAGCUGGAUCCAAAACGCAAAGAAUAAAGGUUUAUUUUCCUGGAUCUCCUAUGUCGCAGCUGAUACUAUUGUGUUAUGUUGAAGUUUUAUUUUCACUGCUUCCCUUCAUCAUGUGUGAGCUGAGGUACAUUUCACUUCCACCCCCUUCUAUGCUCAAUACUCUUUCUAAAUCUAACAGGGUUCUUACCUGGAGUCUAUAUGUAUGUAGGAUUUUUGAUUGGGAGGGGGCCAGUGUUUGAUUAAUUUAUAGAAUGGUCAAACAUUUCAAGGAUGUCUGUUCCAAUUAAUUUCUAGAAUGCUCUGAGAGACAUAGAUGGAAAUUGCAAUUCUUUACUGUCAUUGUACAUUAUGUAGAUAUAUAUAUUUCACAAAUCUCUGGUCGAAUGUUUGAUCAGGGUUGAGACUCCAUCUCCUUUUGUUUUCUCAUCUAACAUUUUUGCUUUUAAAACACAGAAACUUGGCAAGAAUAAUUGAGAUGCACAUCCGAUUGUGUCAGCGGAUUGUUCCCUGAUUAUAUGGACCUAACGGAUUCAUCUGUAAUAAUGAUGCGGAAAGUAGUCAUACUCAGGAACCUAAAAGAAAAGUAGUCUCUUCCUGAACCAUUCAUGCAGUCAUGGAUGAUGCUAUGAUGCAUGUUCCUGCUUGAUAUAAAUCAGUUUGCAUGCUCUUUUAUUUUUAUAUACGGCCCUGUAUUGUAGUAGUACAAGUAUGUCUUAAUCCUUUUGUUUUAUUUAUCAAUUUUUUAUCCAGGGAUACAAUUUACUUCUACUCUCAUUAUUUUAAAGCUUAUCUAUUUCCAUGGCUCUACAGUUCCUUUGGAAUUCGUAAACAAUCUGAGCAGCUAAAAUAAAGUGGAUGUUGAUUCUCAAUAGUAAGGACCCAUUUCCGAAAUAUUAGUUGACGUGAAUCAUCUUAUGGUCCGCAUAUGCAUGUAACAGUAUCAUGGUAAGCUAGCUGUACCAGCACCGAUUACUUCCUUGACAAUCUUUAUGUGGAUCUCCUUGUGAAACAAUAUUUGUUAGUGGCGUCCCUUAUUCAUAUUAUGUUCUUUGUAGAAUUUUAUGUUGCAAACUGAACAAGAAUAGAUGACAACAGGACAGGAACCAAAAUAUAUCGACACGUAGCUUUGUUUUUGUUGAGUCACAUGUUUGAAAAACAACUGAAUUGUUCAAAUUUAACAGAGUUGUUUCUGUACUGCUUUUUUUACCGACCAUUUUCUAUAGAACGUCUUUCUCUAACCCUUAGUUUUUUAUUGGAAUAUACUGGAGUUAUAUUGGAAGCCACCUUUUGCUUUGGUAAUUUCAUGAAGUUCAGAUUUUGAUUUAUCACUGUUCAACAUAUUCGGUGUAGCAAGGGUUAUGAUGGGACACUGACGGGAGUGACAUCAUGUGAGUUCUUAGUGUGGUCAAACGUGCUAACGUGCUCCUCAACUUUAGCCUUGUGGUGUGGACGCUAACGUGGCCGCCGUAACGGCCACCACUUGUGGAAAAUGCAACGGACGUCGAGAGAUGCUCUUUACCCUUCCACUGCUUUCUGAACGUCGAUGACCAUCACUCUCCCUUUUAGCGCAUAUUUCGUUGUCUCUUCUUUUCCGCUCUCAAUCCUUGGAUUUUGUUCACCAUCACCCCUAAUUUGGAUCGCGGAUGACUCGAGCGAGCUUAUAAACUUGGCCAAGAGUAUCCUGUGGCAUGCUGAUGAAAUGAGCCGACUUUAAUCGCACAAUCCGUUUUGUGACUUGGGAUAUGCUAAUGAUUCAGAUUAGUAAGUUUCUUAUCCUAAUUCCAAGAUUGAUUAUUUAGGACUCAGAUCAAACCAUCCUUACAAGUUCAGGGAUUGCAAAAAACUUUACUCAAAAAAUUCCAAAGAUUAUACGUGCAUUGCACGUUUAUGUUACUAGUUUAUUUAUAGUGAACAUUUUUACUUCGUGAUAAUUAAAUAUAUUCCAUCCAUCUAAACAUAUAGGAUGAUAAUUUGUUUUUAAAGUUUCUUUGACCAUUCGUAAAAUUAAUAAUAUAUGAGAUGUAUCAUAUAAAACGUAUGUCUUUGAAAAUUUCUUUCACAUACGAUUUGAUGGUAUACUUUUUUGUAACACACACAUCACAUAUUUGUUGCACUAACUCGUGGUCAAAGGGAACCUCAAAAGAUGUAUUAUACCCUAUAUAUUUGAAUGGAGGGAGUAUGAUUUUUUAUAUACAUCAUUAAAUAAAUUAUUCUUAAUAUUAUUUGGUAUAAUAAGCGUAAUGAACAAUGGAAACACUCUCAUGUAUAUUAGAUAAUAUUGUUGUAGGCUUCCAAUAUUUGUCACUAGAAAUAUAUUUUCUAGCAAUAAGUAGAAUUUCUAGUUUUAUACAAAAAAAUGCAUUUAGUUCAGGAUGUUUAAGAAAUUUUGUUGUUACAAUAGUUCCAAUCA